rnacentral:tRNA from 1 species
GCCGAAGUGGUGGAAUUGGUAGACACGUCGGUCUCAAAAACCGAUGCCUUCCGGGCGUGCCGGUUCGAUUCCGGCCUUCGGCACCA